CCCGAAUCUUACUACCAGGCUCUGUCCCUUGAGACCCUCUGCUUCAAACCAGGGGCUUGCUUCCACACCUGACUAGCCUCUCCUCUUCACCUGGGCUUGAGUCAUUGCCUGACCCAAUGAUUCAGAGCCUGAGGCACCUGUACUCUCAAUCCUGAGGUUUCAAGCCUGGGCACUUUUACCCUUUGGGGAAGUGUAGUUGUCACAACUAAAUGAUUUCCACACAGACAUCUGAUGUGUCCCCUUGCUUCUGAAAUGAAGGGAAUCUUACCCAGCCUCCCAGCCCUGCCACCAACAAUCACUACCUGGACAGUUCCUCAAGGCAUUGCUCAGGGAAGUCUAUGGGUCCGUUAAGAAAAAGAGAGCCUUGAGGGAAGUUCUAAUUGGAAAGAAUAGAGAAUAGGAAGGAGGCAGCUGUUACCAGAAAAAAUCACUUUAUUGUUGGUUAUGAUAAACGAGGAAGAGAAGGACAAUUUGAAUUCUGGGGGGCUGAGGUAAAAUGAUGUGAUAGUCCUUGAUCUCUCCAUCCCCUAACAACAUCUGAACAGUUUAAAUGAAGGCAGAGAGUGAGGAGGCUAAGGAGGGAGGAAAAAAAGGAUGUAGAGUCAAUCAAUUGCCUCUUCUGUUCUUCUUAGGUCAGGGCACCAGAUCAACAGCAGCCCCCAGAGCUCCCACAGCAGCCCCCAGACUGCUGGCCAUGCCCACUGCCACUGUCACAGCAGUCAGACCUCUGGUGCCGGGGUCUGUGGGAUCUCCUGUGAUGGGAAAAGAGGCAGCAGCCGCCCCCGGAGCCAGAGCUGCAGCACCCCCCACAGCUGGACCCACAGCAUCCCCCAGAGCUGCAGCAUCCUCCAGAGCUAGAGCCACAGCAGGAAGAGACUGGAGGAGGGCAGGGAGCCUGGGGAGGGCACUUGGGGGGGGCACUUGGGAGGACAUUUGGGGGUCUGGCACUUUGGAGGUGGCUGGCACUGUUGCUGGUUUUGUUGGCAGGACAUCUCUGGCUGAGUUCAGUAACCCUGAAAUAUAAUAACCAUUUUAAAAUAUAUGAAACUUCUGUUCACUUGUAAUUAAACUACCUUGUAUUGGUAAAUUUUACCUAGAACACAUUAGAUUCCAGAAAGAAAAGACUUAAUUUCUUCCAGCUAAAUGCCUUUUAGUUAGAAU
rnacentral:lncRNA from 1 species